CCUCUCAGAGCCCAGCAUCCCCUUCCUGCCGCCACCAAGAUGGCGGCGCCCAUGUUGCGGUGCUUUUCCCGGGGUUGGUGGUCUGGGACCCUAAGCCUGUCAGGGGUUUUGGCCCUGGGGCUGCGUAAGACCCAUUCAGGCGCUCAGGGGUUACUAGCGACGCAGAAGGCUCGGGGUCUCCUCAAGGACUUCUUCCCCGAGAGGGGUACGAAGAUAGAGCUCCCACAGCUGUUCGACCGAAGCAUGACGGGCUACUCUCCCCAGACUGUCUACUGCGGCUUCGACCCCACGGGUGACUCGCUCCACGUAGGGCAUCUGCUAGCGCUGCAGAGCCUGUUUCACUUCCAGCGAGCGGGCCACAACGUGAUCGCGCUGGUGGGAGGUGCCACCGCGCGCCUGGGAGACCCGAGCGGCCGAACCAAGGAGCGCGAGGCGCUGGACGCGGAGCGCGUGCGUACCAACGCGCGCGCCCUUCGCCUAGGGCUUGAGGCCCUGGCGGCUAAUCACCAGCAGCUCUUCUCUGAUGGGCGGACCUGGGGCAGCUUCACCGUGUUGGACAACUCAGCCUGGUACCAGAAGCAGCACCUGGUCGACUUCCUAGCAGCUGUGGGUGGCCACUUCCGAAUGGGCACGCUGCUGAGCCGACUGAGUGUGCAGACGCGACUCCAGAGCCCCGAGGGCAUGAGCUUGGCCGAGUUCUUUUACCAGGUGCUUCAGGCGUAUGACUUCUAUUACCUGUUCCAGCGUUAUGGAUGCCGGGUCCAGCUGGGUGGGUCUGAUCAGCUGGGCAACAUCGUGUCUGGAUACGAGUUUAUUCACAAGUUGACUGGAGAAGAUGUAUUUGGAAUCACUGUUCCUUUAAUUACAAAUACAACUGGAGCAAAACUGGGAAAGUCUGCUGGCAAUGCUGUUUGGCUAAACAGAGAUAAGACAUCUCCAUUUGAAUUGUAUCAAUUCUUUGUGAGACAGCAAGAUGAUUCUGUUGAAAGGUAUCUGAAACUCUUCACUUUUCUGCCUCUUCCUGAGAUUGAUCAUAUUAUGCAGCUGCAUGUCAAAGAACCAGAAAAGCGGGGUGCUCAAAAACGACUUGCUGCAGAAGUAACAAAGCUUGUUCAUGGACAAGAAGGACUGAAUUCUGCUAAAAGGUGUACGCAGGCCCUUUAUCAUAGUAGCAUAGACGCACUUGAGGUGAUGUCGGAUCAAGAGUUAAAAGAGUUGUUUAAAGAAGCUUCAUUUUCUGAAUUAGUUCUUGACCCUGGAACAAGUGUUCUAGAUACGUGCCGCAAGGCAAAUGCCAUUCCAGAUGGUCCCCGAGGGUUCACCAUAGCUAUUUAGAAGAGACUGAUAUUGAGCAGCAAGAACAUUUAUUCGUGUUUUCAACUCAGGGUGAAGUUGAGUACAGUGUUCCCUGAAAGUGACCUGCUCUAGCAAAUUAAACCCAGAGGGGAUCCUGGGAACCCAGAAUUAUAGCCAGUCAGAAGCACAAGGCAUAACCUCUGCUUGCAACUUGCAUCUGAAGUGGAGAGGCAGACUUGUGGGACUGAGCUCUCAACCUAUCAGAUCUCAUGCUAUCCCUAGUGCUGAGAAUCAAACCCAGGACCUUCACCAUGCUAAACAGACAUUCUGCCACUAAGUCACUUUCCCAGACCCCAGUUCUAUUAUUUUUUGGUAAGUGAAAACUGAUGUGUCACUACUGCCUCAAGACAGAGCAGUUCUGCUCCCCCCCAACAUUUUCUUGUACCGAAUAAACAAAUCCAUUUUCCAUUUCUAGUUUACCUUUUUUUUUAGAA